GGAACAAAGAACCAUGGUUGCACCCCGUUAGCAGGCCCAAAAUUGAAAGGGGCACCAAAAACCCAGCCUACCUUCUUCCCCAAACGGGCCAAACCCCAAGCCAUUCCUUCUUCCCAAAACCCAACCUUCCUUCUUCCCCGAACCCAGCUUUCCUUCAUCCUCAAACCCUAACUUCAACGAUUUCUUUAUCUAAUUAAUUUAGAGAAUUAAUUAGAGAAAAAGGAUGAUCCUCAAACGCAGCCUUCCUUCUUCCCCCAUGGCUGCAGUAUCAUUGUAUAAUUUCUGCGUUUGCCAUUGCAAUCUCUCUCUCUCAUUGAAACUGGGCCGCACGAUUUGCAGACCUCUCAUCACAGCCAUUGAAGCCGGCGACUUCUGCGACGAUGACCUCCAUCACCUCCGUCGAGUUGAAUUUCCUAGUCUUUCGUUACCUUCGGGAAUCAGGGUUUCUGGGAAUUUGGGUGUGCUGUACAGAUUAUAAGGACUAAAUUAGGUAAAGUCGGAAUUUUUAUUAUCCUAUACAAUUCAACAUUCUGUUUGGUUCCUGAGAAAACAAAAAAAGUUAAGCAAAAUCGAAAGCUCCAAAACAAUGUAAAAAAUUUCAACAAAUCCAGUAGCUUCACUUACAACAAGGACCACAACAUUUCUCGUAAUUUUCUCGCAUUUUCCUCCAGCUUCGAGUGAUUCCAGCCCUCGUUAAAUUUUUUCUUUAAACGUUUCCGUAUUAAAAAAAUGGGAAGCCCACUGUGUUUAAUUUAACUUACUCCUGGAUCGAUGAACAAUGGAACAAGACAGAAAUCUUACAACUCAUGAUGUGGUUAUGUUUGAACAUUGACACCUUGCAAGUCUAUCUAAUUUUUUUUAUCAA